rnacentral:rRNA from 1 species
UACGAAAGAGGGAACCACGUGAACUGAAACAUCUAAGUAACGUGAGGAAAAGAAAGUAAAAACGAUACCCAAAGUAGCGGCGAGCGAACUGGGUCAAGCCUAAACCUUAAAUAUGUCAAGGAUACAGCCGUUGUAUUUAAGGGGUUGAGGGACAAAGUAGUGAAGAACUGUAAGAUAUUCAAUAUAGUGUAUUGAUGAAUUAGAAUUGUAUGGAAAGAUAAACCGCAGAAGGUGAGAGUCCUGUAUAAGUAAAUCCUUACACAUAUAACUUUGCUCCCAAGUAACAUGGAACACGAGGAAUUCUGUGUGAAUCAGUGAGGACCAUAUCUCAUAAGGCUAAAUACUCUUACUAACCGAUAGCGCAUAGUACCGUGAGGGAAAGGUGAAAAGAACCCCUGGAGGGGAGUGAAAUAGAACCUGAAAUUGUGUGCUUACAAGCGGUCAGAGCCCAUUUGGGUGAUGGCGUGCCUUUUGGAGAAUGAUCCUGCGAGUUACGUUAAACGGCGAGGUUAAGUAUAACGGAGCCGAAGGGAAACCAAGUCUUAAUAGGGCGAUAUAGUCGUUUGGCGUAGACGCGAAACCUGGUGAUCUAAACCUGUCCAGGAUGAAGCUGUGGUAAGACACAGUGGAGGUCCUAACCCACCGCCGUUGAAAAGUUGGGGGAUGAGGUAGGUUUAGGGGUGAAAAGCCAAUCGAACCAGGAGAUAGCUCGUUCUCUCCGAAAUGCAUCUAGGUGCAGCCUUGAGUGUUCAAUUAUGGGGGUAGAGCACUGAAUGAUCUAGGGGGCAUAUUGCUUACUGAAAUCAAUCAAACUCCAAAUACCAUAAUUUAUAGCUCAGGAGUGAGACCAUGGGAGUUAACUUCCAUUGUCAAAAGGGAAACAACCCAGACCACCAGCUAAGGUCCCUAAUUAUAACUAAGUGGGAAAGGAGGUGGAGAUUCACAAACAACUAGGAGGUUGGCUUAGAAGCAGCCAUACCUUUAAAGAGUGCGUAAUAGCUCACUAGUCGAGAGUCUCUGCGCCGACAAUGUAACGGGGCUAAGUUAUAAACCGAAGCUGUGGAAUCCUUAUGGAUUGGUAGGAGAGCGUUCUGUAGGCUGUUGAAGAAGAAGGGUAACCAACUUUGGAGGUAUCAGAAGUGAGAAUGCAGGAAUAAGUAGCGAGAAAGGGGGCGAGAAUCCCCCUCGCCGGAAGACCAAGGUUUUCAGGGUAAAGCUUGUCUUCCCUGAGUAAGCCGGGACCUAAGCCCAGGCUAUAACGCGUAGGCGAAUGGAAAACAGAUUAAUAUUUCUGUGCCAGUCAUUUAUUGUGAUGGAGGGACGCAGAAGGGUAUGUGCGCGGACGAUUGGUUGUGUCCGUAGAAGUAUGUAGGGUGACUUAGUAGGUAAAUCCAUUAAGUUAUAUCUGAGGUAUGAUAUACAGUCGUAAGAUGAAUGUACAAAUCCCACGCUGCCAAGAAAAACUUCUAACGUUAAUAUUUGACUGCCCGUACUGUAAACCGACACAGGUGGUCAGGAUGAGAAAUCUAAGGCGGACAGGCUAACUCUCGUUAAGGAACUCUGCAAAAUAACCUCGUAACUUCGGGAGAAGAGGAGCCCUUGUGUGUAAGUAUACACGCGAUACAAAGCGCACGAGGGUCGCAGUGAAGAGGCUCAAGCAACUGUUUAACAAAAACACAGGUCUAUGCUAAGCUGUAAGGCGAUGUAUAUGGGCUGACACCUGCCCAGUGCUGGAAGGUUAAGAGGAGGAGUGAGAGCUCCGAAUUGAAGCCCCAGUGAACGGCGGCCGUAACUAUAACGGUCCUAAGGUAGCGAAAUUCCUUGUCAGGUAAG